rnacentral:rRNA from 1 species
GGUUAGACGAAGAAUCUGAAUAGAAUAAUUUAUUAUUUUUAAUUAACAGUGAUUAGUUUGAAGUGAAUUAAUUUCUUUUUUUAGGUGAAAUUUAUUUAAAGAUAUAAAAUAAUCUUUAAUUAAUUAAAGGAAUUAGUAAGUAAAGUUAAAAAACCAGGAUUAGAUACCCUGUUAUUCUUUAUGAUAUUUAAUAGGGUAGUAAAAGUUAUUCUUCAAACCCAAAGAUUUUGGCGGCAUUCUAACCAAACAGAGGAGCUUGUCUUGUAAUCGAUAAUCCCCGUUUUAUCUUACCUUUAUUGGUCAAGCUUGUAUACCUCCGUUGCCAGAUUACUCUAAAAGGAUGUUUUCUGGAAAAAUUAUUUUUCUACUUCAGGUCAAGGUGCAGUUUAUAUAAAGGAAAUGAUGAGCUACAAUUUUUAUACAAAUACGGAUUUCAAAUUAAAAUUUGAUUGAAGGUGGAUUUGUUAGUAAGCUUUUUUUAGGAAAAAAAGCUGAAUUAGGCAAUAGAAUGUGCACAUAUCGCCCGUCACUCUCCUUCUAAGAGGAGAUAAGUCGUAACAAA